AACCCUAAUCAAUAGACUUACGGCGUAAAACGUGUUUAAGAUUUUCCCCUCCCUUCUAAAGCUAAACUUUAGCCCUGCUGUAAAAAGCCCCAGCUACUGUAAGCCCUACCACGAAAGCAGCUUUAAAUCAUCUGAAUACACGACAGCUAAGGCCCAAACUGGGAUUAGAUACCCCACUAUGCUUAGCCCUAAACCUAAAGAAUCUACCAAACAAGAUUCUUCGCCAGAGAACUACUAGCCAAAGCCUAAAACUCAAGGGACUUGGCGGUGCUUUAUAUCCUUCUAGAGGAGCCUGUUCUAUAAUCGAUAAACCCCGAUAAACCUCACCAACCCUUGCCAACU
rnacentral:rRNA from 1 species